AAUCACCUGAGAAAUGUCUUCACUUGAAGCCGGCCAUUGAAAUGAAAGAUUCUGUUCCAAAUAAAGCAGUAGCAGUGGAGGAUUUAAAGACAUGCAAAUCAGGGAUCCACAGAGCUUAUUACAAGAUUUCAAGAUGAUUUCAAAGUUGGCAGAUGCUCACUGGAGAGCUGGGCCCUGUGGUGCAGGCCUGAGUCCUGGUUACUCAGCAAGUUGUGGCAAGAGGUUCCUUGGUACCCAAGAUCCCUUUUCUAAAACAACAAAAACUGCUUACUGUAAUUCUGAUAUUUACCUAGAGUAAAGCUCUGCUUGCUAACAUGUCAACUGUGUUUCAACUUAAUCAUUUAAUCUGUGUCAAUAUAAUGAUGAUCGUAAGCAUAUAGAUGUUCUCAUUAACAGACUGUAUGAGUAUAUAUGUAUGGUAUAUCAUAUCUUUGAUUAUUAAAAAUGGGAAAUAUAAUCAUUCUGUUUGGUUUUUUUUUGGUACUGGGGAUCAAACUCUGGACCUUGCACUUGCAAGGCAGGUGGUGGAACCACUGAGCUAAAUCGCUGGCCCCGAUCAUUCCUUAAUGACUAUUUGGUAGACACAGUCCUUCAAGACAGUGAUUCUGAAACUCUUUAGCCAUAGUAUUAAAAAUUAGUACAGAUUCUAUGGAACUUUUGUUUAAAUACAUUCACUCUAUUGACAUUUACUCUACUAGAAAUUA